UACAGAGGGUGCGAGCGUUAAUCGGAAUUACUGGGCGUAAAGCGCGCGUAGGCGGCUUUGCAAGUCGGGUGUGAAAUCCCCAGGCUUAACCUGGGAACUGCAUUCGAGACUGCAUUGCUAGAGUAUGGGAGAGGGAAGUGGAAUUUCCGGUGUAGCGGUGAAAUGCGUAGAUAUCGGAGGAACACCGAUGGCGAAGGCAAUCCCCUGGACCUGUACUGACGCUCAUGCACGAAAGGCGUGGGGAGCAAACGAGG
rnacentral:rRNA from 1 species